CCGAAGCCUUGGACAGAAGAGAUUUUCAAGUGUUUGAGGAGGCUGCUUCCUUACAAACAGACAUUUGCCUGUCACAAUCGUCCGUUACAACUGAGCUCAGAUCUUGCAGAAGUUACAGUCCAGAUGCAGCAUUAAAUUUCAUGCCUUUCAGUAAAGAAUUGGUUUUUCAGCUGGGGCGUAGCUUAUUUCCUCUCCUCCUCCCCUGGGGCACAGGCAUAUCUAAACACACAGAGGAAAAGAGAAACUGCCACAGCCGCCUCGUUGGCCCUUUUUGGCUCUUCACAGCCGCCGUAGCAGGGCGUAUUCCAAAGUGACCGUUUGGCAUAUUUCAAGACUGGAGGCCUCAGCUCCUAGCUCACGCCACCAUGAAGGCCCCUGUAAGGCGGCGCGCGGCUCCGGCGCGGUACCGAGGGUUGGCCCCGGCCGGGGUCCGCAGGGCCACGCUCUGGACCCCACGGGAAAAGCAGCAACUCCUCCGUUUACUGCAGGCACGAGACGGGGAGAGAGAACCCGAGGCUGUGGAGCCGAGGCAGGGGCUGCCCACCGGAGCGAGGCUGAGGUAGUGAGGUUGGUGUAGUGCCUGUCACACAUGGCCCAGACCAUGGAGCACCAGGAGGCAUGGCAGUACUGACUAGUGGGCCCCUGACACCUGACUCCACUGUCAGUCCUAUGGUUUAAAAUUUUUCUUCCCUGGAAAGAGAUUCAACAGAGCCCACCAGCAUGCCCAUGACUGGCUCUACUGCGAGAGAUUCCAUUUUAGACAUUGCAACAGAGACUCUGGAGACUCUGCCAGGUAUGACAACCACUCAGGCCCCCCCUCCUCACUGUAACAAGUGGACUUAGGCCUCAGACACACAGGAGAACCAUGUUCUCUCCCAUAGAAGCCUCAACUCCACCUGAAACGUCUUCUGGAGUCACUAUGGGCAUGGCAAGCCCCACAUUCUCCAUGACUCCAGCAGAGCCCACAGCCAGCACAGGCUCCAGUGGUCCCUUAAAGAUCAGCCCAGCUGGGACAAUUUCUUCUACAUUCCCUGCAGACACACCUGUAUCAGAAACAUCCCUUAGGGAGAGUCCCAGCACCACCCUGACUCCAUGGCCCACUCCAAUUGAUUCUUUUCAUACUGCUGUCUCAGCUUCAGAAAUGGGAAUCAGCUCCAUUUUGCCCCUGUCCUCAACUCCUACAGCCAUCAGUGCUACAGAAGCCAGGCCGAGCCCAGAGCUGCCUUUGAGAGAGACCACACCAGAGAAGCAGGAUGCUCAGACAGGAAUGGAGCCAGGCUCAGCUACCCUGUCCUCCACUGCCGCUCCCAGCAUCAUCCCAACAUCUGCUGGAGGAGACACAAGCACUUUGUUGGUGCCUACAGAAGGACCAGAAGGUCAAACUGUUUCCAGCACCUUCCCAGAGAACACAGAUGCCUCUGCAAGCACUUACAGAGAACACAAGUACUCCCCAAGCACAGGAGUAACUCUCUGGCCUGACAGGGCUUCCACAUCUUCUCUGCCAGCCUAACUGAAGGAACCAGCUACUCCAGGACUGUCCCCUCGACCUCUUUGGUGAGCAUGACAAGCAUUGGCAUAACUAGAGCUCAGACAAGCCCAGCUCUACCUCCUACCCCAGGGCCCACAGAGUCCACACCUCCGAAGGGGGGCACUCCCUCUGUCACACCAAUGACUGAAUUUAGAACCAAGCACAGUGAAAAAUUACAAAGCAGUUUGGCCUCCACCAGCCCCCCAGUGCAGGAGACCAGCAGACCAGGUAGCCCUACAGCAUCAGAUACAAGUACACUCAGACCAGGGAAGUUUCGUCCUGCUGAGAGCACAGCUAACCUUGUGUCAAGUCCUGUGGGAGAGUCUAGCCCAGAGCCAGCUGUCUACACCACUCCUUCCCACACCCCAGGUACUACAGAGACUAGGCCUGGAACAGACUUGUUCUUGGUAUUAACCACACUAGCACCUGUUGUCUCCAUCACCAGGAUCUCUGGGGCUAUCUAGAACAAGAAUAGGACGUUCCCUGGUCCUCAAUCUUAGCCAAAGCCACAGCUCUCACCAUCAGUGGGGCAGAUACCACUCCCUACAUGGUCAAGAACAGUGUCUCCUUCAACUCAAAUAACUUCAUCUGGGGUUACCUUUAAGGCUGAGGACGAGCUCAGCUGUCCUUCUGUCUAUAACCACAAGUCUGACCCUCGGCACUAAAAUCACAUUGUCUGUCUUUCCCAUAGGUCACUCUUAGCCCUGAGCUCCCAAGUAUGGUGGCAGAGAGUGGCACAGAUGCCACACUGACCACUUCCUCUCCUAAAGCUCCAGUGUUGUCAGACAGCACUCCUAGAGGCUCAUCGGUCACCUCUGCUGGCUUGAUUCUCCUAGAGAAAAUGGCUAAUGGUAUCCCACAUGUAGGCCAGAGAAAACCUCAGAGCUCUCCCUAACCACCUUAGUCAUAGAGGCCAGCAUUGGUUUAGCAGUCAAGAUGACUAGAGACAUCUCUGCAGUUCUUCCAAGAUUCAGCAGCAAAACUGGAGUGAGACCUUCAGUUUCUCCUAGUUUUAGUUUAGGAGAGAUUUGAGUAAGUUCUGAGGUUCAGACUCCCAGAGAGAAAAGCUCUUCCAUCCAGGUGGCCCAUGGUCGCCACAGUGACUCCUAUCCAUGUUGGAUCAGGUACAAGUCUGGCUGCUAUGACCUGGGCUGAGCUAUCUGAGACUCAAAGUCUAGUGAUCACUCAAAUUUUACAGGGGAGCGACAUGGAAUCUUUAUUGUCUCUUACUACAGAUGAAGUCCCUGGAGCAGAGCCCAUUAACAGCUCUUACUCUAACCCCAGGACUAGGGGAGACCCAGGCUUCCAUAGGCACUCUCUCCAUCAUGGAAACCUUAUCUCAUCCCCUCCAUUAGAAAGCCCCAGGAGGGGGCGAAGCCAAGAUGGCAGAGUGAAAGCAGUGACUUGCUUGAGCUCUCCUCCAAACCC